ensembl:snoRNA
CCUGCCCCUAGAAGUGUUGCAGGUGUGGCUGCUGUGUCACACGUGCAUCAGAAGGUAUCAGAGAGAAGCUAUGUCUAUGCUCCGUGUUCUGACCUAUGAACAUCUGAAAGAUGAGAAACCUAACAGU